rnacentral:rRNA from 2 species
GGGGAAUAUUGCACAAUGGGGGAAACCCUGAUGCAGCGACGCCGCGUGGAGGAAGAAGGUCUUCGGAUUGUAAACUCCUGUUGUUGGGGAAGAUAAUGACGGUACCCAACAAGGAAGUGACGGCUAACUACGUGCCAGCAGCCGCGGUAAAACGUAGGUCACAAGCGUUGUCCGGAAUUACUGGGUGUAAAGGGAGCGCAGGCGGGAAGACAAGUUGGAAGUGAAAUCUAUGGGCUCAACCCAUAAACUGCUUUCAAAACUGUUUUUCUUGAGUAGUGCAGAGGUAGGCGGAAUUCCCGGUGUAGCGGUGGAAUGCGUAGAUAUCGGGAGGAACACCAGUGGCGAAGGCGGCCUACUGGGCACCAACUGACGCUGAGGCUCGAAAGUGUGGGUAGCAAACAGGAUUAGAUACCCUGGUAGUCCACACCGUAAACGAUGAUUACUAGGUGUUGGAGGAUUGACCCCUUCAGUGCCGCAGUUAACACAAUAAGUAAUCCACCUGGGGAGUACGACCGCAAGGUUGAAACUCAAAGGAAUUGACGGGGGCUCGCACAAGCAGUGGAGUAUGUGGUUUAAUUCGACGCAACGCGAAGAACCUUACCAAGUCUUGACAUCCCUUGACAGGCAUAGAAAUAUGUUUUCUCUUCGGAGCAAGGAGACAGGUGGUGCAUGGUUGUCGUCAGCUCGUGUCGUGAGAUGUUGGGUUAAGUCCCGCAACGAGCGCAACCCUUAUGGUCAGUUACUACGCAAGAGGACUCUGGCCAGACUGCCGUUGACAAAACGGAGGAAGGUGGGGAUGACGUCAAAUCAUCAUGCCCUUUAUGACUUGGGCUACACACGUACUACAAUGGCGUUAAACAAAGAGAAGCAAGACCGCGAGGUGGAGCAAAACUCAGAAACAACGUCCCAGUUCGGACUGCAGGCUGCAACUCGCCUGCACGAAGUCGGAAUUGCUAGUAAUCGCGGAUCAGCAUGCCGCGGUGAAUACGUUCCCG